rnacentral:rRNA from 1 species
UACGAAGGGUGCAAGCGUUACUCGGAAUUACUGGGCGUAAAGGGUGCGUAGGUGGUCGUUUAAGUCCGUUGUGAAAUCCCUGGGCUCAACCUGGGAAUGGCAGUGGAUACUGGACGGCUAGAAUGCGGUAGAGGGUAGUGGAAUUCCCGGUGUAGCAGUGAAAUGCGUAGAGAUCGGGAGGAACACCAGUGGCGAAGGCGGCCAGCUGGGCCGACCCUGACGCUGAGGCGCGAAGGCGUGGGGAGCGAACGGG